GCCAGUGUGGUGCAGUGGUUUGAACAUUGGACUAUGACUCUGGAGAUCAGGGUUCAAUUUCAUGCUUGGCCA